GACGAACGCUGGCGGCGUGCUUAACACAUGCAAGUCGAACGGAAAGGCCCUGCUUUUGUGGGGUGCUCGAGUGGCGAACGGGUGAGUAACACGUGAGUAACCUGCCCUUGACUUUGGGAUAACUUCAGGAAACUGGGGCUAAUACCGGAUAGGAGCUCCUGCUGCACGGUGGGGGUUGGAAAGUUUCGGCGGUUGGGGAUGGACUCGCGGCUUAUCAGCUUGUUGGUGGGGUAGUGGCUUACCAAGGCUUUGACGGGUAGCCGGCCUGAGAGGGUGACCGGCCACAUUGGGACUGAGAUACGGCCCAGACUCCUACGGGAGGCAGCAGUGGGGAGUAUUGCACAAUGGGCGGAAGCCUGAUGCAGCGACGCCGCGUGCGGGAUGACGGCCUUCGGGUUGUAAACCGCUUUCGCCUGUGACGAAGCGUGAGUGACGGUAAUGGGUAAAGAAGCACCGGCUAACUACGUG
rnacentral:rRNA from 1 species